UACGGAGGGUGCAAGCGUUAUCCGGAUUCACUGGGUUUAAAGGGUGCGUAGGCGGACAGGUAAGUCAGUGGUGAAAUCUCUGGGCUUAACCCAGAAACUGCCGUUGACACUAUUUGUCUUGAAUAUCCUGGAGGUAGGCGGAAUAUGUCAUGUAGCGGUGAAAUGCUUAGAUAUGACAUAGAACACCGAUAGCGAAGGCAGCUUACUACAGGAUGAUUGACGCUGAGGCACGAAAGCGUGGGGAGCAAACAGG
rnacentral:rRNA from 1 species